rnacentral:lncRNA from 1 species
AUGAGAGGGUUAAGAGGCAGCAGGCAGGGUGGAGGAAUUCCUGAACCUGUGAACAACUCCAUGUAUUACCCUUAUUUUACUGACAACAGGGACACCAAGUUUAUCCCAGGCAUGACCAAGCAAGCCAUGGAGGGGGAAACUCUGCUCCUCUCAUGUCCAUUUUUCGGCAAAAAUGAGGACAACCUUUCCUCCCUUAACAACUUGGAAAUGAGUGGCAAAACUAUAAAUAUUUUAAAAACAAUUCACUGAUUUACCACUUUAAAUUCCAGCUUAAAUAGCAAGAAGAGACAGUAUCACUUUGCUUACCUACUGUACACUGCAUUUCUACUUAGUCAGCUUCUUACACCCUGUAAAUGUAUGUUAGCACAUUCACAGCUUUUGAGCAAAGAGGCUGAAAUCCAAAUUUCAAAGAGCUGAGUUAUUUUUUAAUCUGGAGAAAUACACAUUAAAAACAAUUUUUAAAAAACCACAGGCAGUUAAUCAUUGAACACAACUGCCAUGCCAGCAAAUCUGUGAGAAUUUUGUCAUCUUGAGGUGGUCACUGAAGGUGUCAGAUUGGGCAGGGACUUCAAGAUCACUUAGUUCCAACUCCCCUACCAUGUCUUACUGUACAAUUUCAAUUUAAAUAAAAUCUUAUUUAGCUGAUGGUAAUGACUACCCUUCAUGUAAACUCUUCUUGCUCUUCAACAAACCUAAUUUUAGGCUCUAAUCAGCUUGCAACUCAACAGAAGCAAUCAGAGUACUGGCAUGAGCUGCUAUAGGAAUAGAUUUUAACCAUUAAUUGUAACUUAUCAUGUCUUGUUUGUCAAACCUUUAUGGUCACUUGGAAGAAUUCCUGACUGUAGCAAUUCUUGAUUCUUGCAGAUUAUGUUGAGACAACAACAGUAAUGAAUUAAUUCCGUUUCCUUCACAUAAGGAAAUAAAAGCAGAAUCAUUAAGGCUAGAAAAGCCCUCUAAGAUCAUUGAAUCAACCAUUAACCCAUCACUGCCAUGUCCACCACUACACCAUGUACCUAAGCACCACAUCUACCAAGAGGUAGUAUUAAAAUCCUCAUUUUCCAGAUAGGAAACUGCAGCACAGAAGAAUGCAAUCACAUGGCCAAGAUGACAGGCAGAAAACCCUAAUUUUAACCUUUAGCUUAAAGGUUCUGAUGUACAUUUUCCCUGCUCGGUACAGUUGACUGCUGUUCUUCCAAGUCCUUGGAGUGACAAGCUCACCAAGCACUUCAGAAAAUCUACAUUUUCAGACACAAACUGACCUAUACUGCAACCACGAAAACGAAUGCAAACAUCAGAAGCCACACUUACACAUAUCAUUAAGCACUUGGCAAUAUUCUUUUAAACCAAGGCACGUAACCAGAGGGUCCUUCUUU